rnacentral:rRNA from 1 species
UACAGAGGUCCCAAGCGUUGUUCGGAUUCACUGGGCGUAAAGGGUGCGCAGGUGGCGCUUCAAGUUUGAUGUGAAAGCUUCGGGCUCAACCCGGAAAUGGCAUUGAAUACUGGAGUGCUGGAGGUUUGGAGGGGGGACUGGAAUUCCCGGUGUAGUGGUGAAAUGCGUAGAUAUCGGGAGGAACACCAGUGGCGAAGGCGACUUCCUGGCCUGUUCUUGACGCUGAGGCGCGAAAGCUAGGGGAGCAAACGGG